rnacentral:rRNA from 1 species
CCUGGCGGCCGUAGCGCGGUGGUCCCACCUGACCCCAUGCCGAACUCAGAAGUGAAACGCCGUAGCGCCGAUGGUAGUGUGGGGUCUCCCCAUGCGAGAGUAGGGACCUGCCAGG